AUUGAACGCUGGCGGCAGGCUUAACACAUGCAAGUCGAGCGGAGAUGAGGUGCUUGCACCUUAUCUUAGCGGCGGACGGGUGAGUAAUGCUUAGGAAUCUGCCUAUUAGUGGGGGACAACAUUCCGAAAGGAAUGCUAAUACCGCAUACGCCCUACGGGGGAAAGCAGGGGAUCUUCGGACCUUGCGCUAAUAGAUGAGCCUAAGUCGGAUUAGCUAGUUGGUGGGGUAAAGGCCUACCAAGGCGACGAUCUGUAGCGGGUCGGAGAGGAUGAUCCGCCACACGGGGACUGAGACACGGCCCAGACUCCUACGGGGGGCAGCAGUGGGGAAUACUGGACAAUGGGCGGAAGCCUGAUCCAGCCAUGCCGCGUGUGUGAAGAAGGCCUUUAGGUUGUAAAGCACUUUAAGCGAGGAGGAGGCUACCUGGAUUAAUACUCUAGGAUAGUGGACGUUACUCGCAGAAUAAGCACCGGCUAACUCUGUGCCAGCAGCCGCCGUAACAC
rnacentral:rRNA from 1 species